CAUUUUUAAGCAUUUCACUCUUUCAUUUAGUGCAUUGCAGUGCAGCUGCUCAUGGAGUUUCAGAGAGUGUGCAAACCUCUGCUCUGACUCCUGGAGUCAGAAAUAAAAUAAAACCACUUUUUUCCACAACUGCAUGGAUGUUUUCCCUCAGUGAAUUCACACAAAAUUAAUUACAACACCUUACUUUGGAUAUUCUUGUAUACUUUGGAGUGUCUCCUGCAGGCUCCCCGAGGCCACUGAGACAGCAGCACAACCAUUCUGGGGUUUGGUGCCGUAACACACGUGGACCUGUUUUGGCCGAGGGAGGAGGAGCGCUCACACGGGACAGGGAGGCCCCUGUGCCUGGCAGCCUGCGUGCGAGGAAGGACAGGCAGCUUUAAGACCUUCCUCUACUGCUGAGGCAGCUGGGGCUGGCCUGCUGCCCGAGUAUAAACUAAAGCAGCUUCACAACUGGUUUAAUUUAUGUCCGAUUGCCAGUAGCCCCGGGGCAUUUCUGUCAGCCGAGGCUCAACCAGCUGUAACACCAUCCUGGUUUCUGCUUCUCCUCUCGGUGCUCGCUGCUUCUGCCAGUGGCUGAGCAGGAUCAGGGUGCAAGUGGCCCCAGUGUGAGUUCUUCUCAGCAGAACAUCUUCAGGACAUCUGUGCUGAUCACCUUGCAAUCUCCUGGCCAGGAAAAUUACAUAAAUUGAGCUAUGGGAAUAAUCAAACAAAAGAAAAAAAUAAACUUCAAAGGCAGAGCUUCAUGUCUUUCAAACUGAGAAGUCUAAAAAGAUGAAGAAAUGAGAAUAAAGGUUUAAUUCUGA